CAGCACUCCAGAUUUAUAAGAGCCACAGAUCCUCGGCACUGGUUUGGCACAAGACUUCCCGAGCAGGACAUGUAACCCACAAAGUUUAGCCAGUAAGUAUUAAUGUUAAAUUUAGUCUUUCUUGUGUGUCUGACCUGAAAGUAAACAAAUCACAACAAAUGUUGCCACAAAAAACUAAUCUUUACUGUGAGCUAUAGGGUUGCUUGUACAUAAAAUAAAGUUUUUGGUUGUUUUCAUGGUACACAGCAGCAGCAGCAGCAGCAGCAGCAGAUCUUUCCCAGAGCGAGACACUAAUUCUUUUUACGCUUUGAAUAUAUCUUAUCCCAUGAAUCUAGGUAUCCAAGGCUCACAGCUUUGCUUCUUGUGAGAUUAAACGAAGAUGAUGGUCUUAAAAUGGUUUUACCACGAGAAAACAUCCACACAAGGAAUACACCUGUUUACUUCCACUGAAGGCCUCACACUGCCAGUCUGAGGAGUUUGCAACUAAAUGAUAAAGCCCGAGGGUUUACCACAGAUCAUGGGAGACAAUGCAGAAAAGAGACAAUAUAUAACUCAGAGGAAAGCAGGAUGAACUACCAAACACAGAGACUGUGUCCUCACCUGAUGAAAGGUCUGGAGAUGGCCAGGACGGUCCGGAUGAACCACGUUGGCAUCUCUUCAGCCAGCCGAUGCCCGGCAUCUUCCUGCGAGGAGUGGCUCCGUUCAGGUACGGUCUGAUGACCUGCAUGUCAAUCCGCUGCUCCUGAUCACCGAUGAUCACUGUUCGCCACAGGCGGCCAGAUGAGUCUCUCUCCUCGUCACUUUCCCCUGGAAGACGCUUUGCAGUGGCCACAGGAGUGUCAUCUGGACACAAGGUGAAGACAAAGCUCGUUGCCGUUGUUGAUGAACUCGAGCGAGUCCGUCUCAUCAGGAGUCUCCAUGUCGUCUACGUUGAUGUCCAGGUCGUCGGGUGUUUCCAGAAACUCAUCAGAGAGCACGGAGCCCUCGCUCUGAUCCAGGGACAGGUUCAUGUCGGGGGCGACCAGCGUGCGGCGCUUACGCUGAGCCAUGGUCUCGCCCACAUUUAGAGUGGUGGGAUGAUCUGGACAGACGGGCCAUAAAAGUUUAGGCACAGUACAUCUUUAAAAAA